AUUGAACGCUGGCGGCAGGCCUAACACAUGCAAGUCGAGCGGAUGAAGGGAGCUUGCUCCUGGAUUCAGCGGCGGACGGGUGAGUAAUGCCUAGGAAUCUGCCUGGUAGUGGGGGAUAACGUCCGGAAACGGGCGCUAAUACCGCAUACGUCCUGCGGGAGAAAGUGGGGGAUCUUCGGACCUCACGCUAUCAGAUGAGCCUAGGUCGGAUUAGCUAGUUGGUGGGGUAAAGGCCUACCUAGGCGGCGAUCCGUAACUGGUCUGAGAGGAUGAUCAGUCACACUGGAACUGAGACACGGUCCAGACUCCUACGGGAGGCAGCAGUGGGGAAUAUUGGACAAUGGGCGAAAGCCUGAUCCAGCCAUGCCGCGUGUGUGAAGAAGGUCUUCGGAUUGUAAAGCACUUUAAGUUGGGAGGAAGGGCAGUAAGUUAAUACCUUGCUGUUUUGACGUUACCAACAGAAUAAGCACCGGCUAACUUCGUG
rnacentral:rRNA from 1 species